rnacentral:rRNA from 1 species
ACUGUGAUCAAUAGCUGAUUUGAGAGGAUGAUCAGCCACAUUGGGACUGAGACACGGCCCAAACUCCUACGGGAGGCAGCAGUGGGGAAUCUUGCACAAUGGAGGAAACUCUGAUGCAGCGAUGCCGCGUGAGUGAAGAAGGCCCUUGGGUUGUAAAGCUCUUUCGUCGGGGAAGAAAAUGACUGUACCCGAAUAAGAAGGUCCGGCUAACUUCGUGCCAGCAGCCGCGGUAAUACGAAGGGACCUAGCGUAGUUCGGAAUUACUGGGCUUAAAGAGUUCGUAGGUGGUUGAAAAAGUUAGUGGUGAAAUCCCAGAGCUUAACUCUGGAACUGCCAUUAAAACUUUUCAGCUAGAGUAUGAUAGAGGAAAGCAGAAUUUCUAGUGUAGAGGUGAAAUUCGUAGAUAUUAGAAAGAAUACCAAUUGCGAAGGCAGCUUUCUGGAUCAUUACUGACACUGAGGAACGAAAGCAUGGGUAGCGAAGAGGAUUAGAUACCCUCGUAGUCCAUGCCGUAAACGAUGUGUGUUAGACGUUGGAAAUUUAUUUUCAGUGUCGCAGGGAAACCGAUAAACACACCGCCUGGGGAGUACGACCGCAAGGUUAAAACUCAAAUGAAUUGACGGGGACCCGCACAAGUAGUGGAGCAUGUGGUUUAAUUCGAAGAUACGCGCAGAACCUUACCAACACUUGACAUGUUCGUCGCGACUCUAAGAGAUUAGAGUUUUCGGUUCGGCCGGACGAAACACAGGUGCUGCAUGGCUGUCGUCAGCUCGUGUCGUGAGAUGUUGGGUUAAGUCCCGCAACGAGCGCAACCCUCACUUUUAGUUGCCAUCAUUAAGUUGGGCACUCUGAAAGAACUGCCAGUGAUAAGCUGGAGGAAGGUGGGGAUGACGUCAAGUCCUCAUGGCCCUUACGUGUUGGGCUAC